rnacentral:rRNA from 1 species
CCGGUAGGGGAUGGGCAUGCGUGCCAUUAGCUAGUUGGUGGGGUAACGGCCCACCAAGGCUGCGAUGGCUAGGGGGCCUGAGAGGGUGGUCCCCCACACUGGCACUGAGAUACGGGCCAG